rnacentral:tRNA from 1 species
AUUUGAAUAGCUCAGUGAUAAAAGCAGUUGCCCGGAAAGCAAAAGACUCAGGUUUGAUUCCCGUUUCAAUCA